rnacentral:hammerhead_ribozyme from 1 species
AUCCAGCUGAAGAGUCCCAAAUAGGAAUAAACGUGUUUCGAACUGGAU